AAAAAUUUGUGCACACUGAAUAACGCGCGUAGCGGGUUAUUUAACAGUGUGCACCACAUUUUUUAUGUUAUUUCGAAUGGACAGAAAAAAUAUUACAGUCAUUUCUUAUAAUUUAAUUCUAAAAUUCAUUUUAAACCGUAGAAAACCAUGAAAAAACGUUGAUGACGUCACGGUCACAUGACUAAAUUAUGUCUAUGGGCUCAUAACAAAAUA
rnacentral:lncRNA from 1 species